UCUGGUGAAUUAUAGCUGAAUUUGUGAUAAAGUUACGCAUCUAUUUUGUAUCAAAAAUAGCUGAUAAUUCUUUGUGAAAAUUUUCAGAUGUCGUCAAAUAUUUUUUCUGAGGUACUAUGGAAUGGAAUUUUAGGGGAUGAAGAAGAGAGGGGACCAGAAAUGUCCAAUAUUAUAAACGGUCCUUCAGUGCCAAUCAAAGCUCCAACAUGUAUAAUACAGAGCUGCAAUCCAAGAGUAGGAGGAUCACGGUUUAGAUUUCCAGCAAAUCCCAAAAGAAAAAAAUUGUGGCUGAAGGCCCUUCAUUUAAAUCAAGAGUAUAUCACAGUAAAAGAUCCAAGAGUAUGUGAAAAACAUUUCAAACCCUCUGAUUUUAAAAGUAAUUUAUAGUAUAAUAAAUAUUACGACGUUAA